UACGUAGGGGGCAAGCGUUGUCCGGAUUUAUUGGGCGUAAAGAGCUCGUAGGCGGCUUGUCGCGUCGACCGUGAAAACUUGGGGCUCAACCCCAAGCCUGCGGUCGAUACGGGCAGACUAGAGUGUGGUAGGGGAGACUGGAAUUCCUGGUGUAGCGGUGAAAUGCGCAGAUAUCAGGAGGAACACCGAUGGCGAAGGCAGGUCUCUGGGCCACUACUGACGCUGAGAAGCGAAAGCGUGGGGAGCGAACAGG
rnacentral:rRNA from 1 species